rnacentral:rRNA from 1 species
AGCGGCCGCGGUAAUUCCAGCUCCAAUAGCGUAUAUUAAAGUUGUUGCAGUUAAAAAGCUCGUAGUUGAAUUUCGGGAUCAGUGAGUCGGUCGUGCCACUGGUAUGCACUGGCCCUACUGGUUCCUCCUUCUUGAAGAACUGUAAUGCCAUUAAUUUGGUGUUGCAGGGAAACAGGACUGUUACUUUGAAAAAGUUAGAGUGUUUAAAGCAGGCAAUCGCUUGAAUACAUUAGCAUGGAAUAAUGAAAUAGGACGAUCGAUCCUAUUUUGUUGGUUUCUAGGAUUGACGUAAUGAUUAAUAGGGAUAGUUGGGGGCAUUAGUAUUCAAUUGUCAGAGGUGAAAUUCUCGGAUUUAUUGAAGACUAACUACUGCGAAAGCAUUUGCCAAGGA